rfam:Schistosoma mattheei strain Denwood, Zambia genome assembly, scaffold: SMTD_scaffold0003559
ACCCAUCUGGCGAGUCCAAAAUAGGACGAAAUGAGCAUCCUGGAU